rnacentral:rRNA from 1 species
GUUGUCCGGAUUAUUGGGCGUAAAGAGCUUGUAGGCGGUUUGUCGCGUCUGCUGUGAAAGGCCGGGGCUUAACCCCGUGUAUUGCAGUGGGUACGGGCAGACUAGAGUGCAGUAGGGGAGACUGGAAUUCCUGGUGUAGCGGUGGAAUGCGCAGAUAUCAGGAGGAACACCGAUGGCGAAGGCAGGUCUCUGGGCUGUAACUGACGCUGAGAAGCGAAAGCAUGGGGAGCGAACAGGAUUAGAUACCCUGGUAGUCCAUGCCGUAAACGAUGAGUGCUAAGUGUUGGUCUCAUAAGAGAUCAGUGCUGCAGCUAACGCAUUAAGCACUCCGCCUGGGGAGUACGACCGCAAGGUUGAAACUCAAAGGAAUUGACGGGGGCCCGCACAAGCGGUGGAGCAUGUGGUUUAAUUCGAAGCAACGCGAAGAACCUUACCAGGUCUUGACAUCCCUCUGACCGCUCUAGAGAUAGAGCUUUCCUUCGGGACAGAGGUGACAGGUGGUGCAUGGUUGUCGUCAGCUCGUGUCGUGA